GAUCAUGGCUCAGGAUGAACGCUAGCUACAGGCUUAACACAUGCAAGUCGAGGGGCAACAUGGUCUUAGCUUGCUAAGGCCGAUGGCGACCGGCGCACGGGUGAGUAACACGUAUCCAACCUGCCGUCUACUCUUGGACAGCCUUCUGAAAGGAAGAUUAAUACAAGAUGGCAUCAUGAGUUCACAUGUUCACAUGAUUAGAGGUAUUCCGGUAGACGAUGGGGA
rnacentral:rRNA from 1 species